rnacentral:rRNA from 1 species
AUGUACUUGCAGGCAUUCCUCCACACCGCCGAUGGCGAGCUGUUCCACCUCAAGCAUGCAGAUGUGGGGGCAGAGGGUCCAACACCGUGCUAUCCGAGCAUCGGCCGUGGGUACUGCCAUUUAGGUGAUCUAUUCCCAGCUACUGUGAUUGUACCAUUCAUGAGCAUUGGCUCGUUUUUCUCCAACAACUCUCCGGCUCCUCCAUCGCCGGGGCUUGCGCUGACGGUUCAUCUGUCGAGCGCCUCUUCAUCCGCCUCGUCACCCGACGUCAUCGCGCCUCUGGCUUUCGCGCCGGAGGCCACCUCGUCGGCUGUCACGGCGGGCCUCAUGCCAUCCGCGCCCCACGUGGGAUUCACCCCGGCAGCGCCGAUUGCCUCCCUCUACGGGCCAUACUCGCCGCCGCCGCCCGCGGGUUCCAAUCCCGUGGUCCCGCCCGCGCCGCCUGCCCCUGCCCCCAUGGCGUCCGUGCCUCCGGCAGGUGCCUCCACGGGACCGUUGCCUCCACCGUUCCACUUCGGCAACCUCAUCACCAUCAAGCUCUCGUCCGACAAUUAUAUCUUCUGGCGUGCGCAGGUUCUUUCACUCCUUGGGAGCCACUACUUGCUUGGCUACGUCGACGGCACUUUUCCUUGCCCUCCUGCGCUGGUGGACAGCGUGAACGGCCCGGUGCGUGGCAUGAUUAUCAUGAUUAUUUGGAGAAGGUGGAACGUUCAAAACGGCCUCGUCCAAGGCAAAAGUAUUCAUCCCAUGGAUGCAUUGUGUGUGGCCACAGGACGGUUCGGCUGGGGCCGGAGUGAUUCUAGGGACAAUGCAGGAGAAGUCAUCUUUGUUUUGUGCCAUCUUCUGUUCUUUUGCAAUGUCAACCUGGAAGCGGAGAUCCAUGAUAUUUUGGAGGGCAUGUCGCUGGCCCUCCAAUUGUCUAAUCUAGUAAUCUCCCAAUUCUCGUGCAUUGAGCUAGGCUCACUGGAUCUCCCUCCUGACUCCUCCCAUGUCGCCCCUGCGCGGCGACCGGGGGAAACCCUAGCGCCGCCGCGUCCUCGUCCCUCCCCCGACCUCUCCUCCUCGCCGCCGCGGUCGGCGGCGGCGGGAUCUCUUCUGCCAUGGCUCGCUGGAUCUGGCGCGGGCGGAUCGCGGCGAUGGUUGGCGGUGCGCUGGAGGCGGGUCGCGCCGGCGCGGGCUUGGGGGCGACGGCAGUUUUCCCUGGUGUGUGUGGGAGUCCGCUCGGGGCGCGCGGCGGCGGCCCUCUGCAAGCGGUGGCGGGCGGUGGGAUCUCGGCGGUGCUCCGGCGUGUGCAGGCAUGGUCCCUGUGCGUGGUCGGCGGCUCCGUCUCUGACCCGGACGACGCGGGGGAUGGCGGCGGCCCGGCGUGGCUGGCGAUCUGGAUCCGGUGGUGCCGGCGGCUCGCUGAUCUGCCGGUGCUCUAGGGAUCUGCCUGGUUAUGCUGGUGGUGACGGCGGCCCGUGCACGAGGUUGGAUCCCUUCGAACUAAUUUGGAUUGGAUAG